rnacentral:misc_RNA from 1 species
UGCCAUGCAUUUCCGGAAACGAAACCGACUUUUGACAGGUCCGGGAUAGGCCUAGCUCCUAAAAAGCUCUGUUUACUCAAAUUUCCUUCCAUGGAAUUUGACAAUGGGUAUUCAAAUAUGAAAAUGGUUAAUUGUGUCUUAAAUGUUGAUACAUAAAUGAGUCAAAUAGCAACCUAAAACUGAAAGGUCUCUGUUAUGAGCAACGGGCACCUGCGACCCUCCUCCCGUGGGGGGCUGUUUGGUAAGAAAAAUGAAGACUACGUUUACAGUGGAGCUCAAGUCCAGAAUGUCAAAAAGAACCGGGUAUAUGUUUUCGGGGACACCGAUGUGGCGGAUGAUGAAGUCGUUGAAUUUGAAAUGGAAAUGCGAUCAAGAAAAGCGCCUAAGACCAUCGACCCAAAGGAAAAAGAACCUAUUUACUUCGAAAGAGAAGUCGCAGAAGGCGAUAGUUUACGAAGUCUGGCUCUUCAGUACGGUUGUGCGGUGUCGGAACUGAAAAGAAUCAACAACUUUAUACAAGAUCAGGAUUUCUAUGGUUAUAAAGUAGUAAAGGUGCCUUUAAAAAGGCAUUCAUUCCUGACGGAACAAAUCGCACGGGGGAAGGAAGAACAGACAAAACAGCAAUCAAGGACAGCACAGAGCAAUGGUAUGACGGUGGUGGAUGAAACAUGUGAAAGCAGUCAUGAUUUACAAGAUGAGACAGACAACGAUUCAAUUUGUGACAUGAGUGACCCUGAAACUCAAAAUUUGAUCAUACGAACAUUGAGUAUAAGCGAAGCACUCAAUAGCCAGUCUCGAGAUGCUAAAAACUUUUUACAUAACAUGGACAAGGAUUUGUCAGAAAUCAGACGUGCAAAUGACAGAACAAAUCGUCGCUCACUUGAUGAAGUUGUGUCUUUGUUAACUAACCGAACAAUUAGGCCUUUCCCGAAAAAUAGGAACAAGAGCGACGGUGCCAACUGGGGGAUUUCCUGGAAAUCACUUGUAAUUGGUCUUAUUGCCUUAGUAGUUAUAUGUCCUGUGAUAUUCUAUCUUUUUGUUAAAUAUUCCUAACAAUAGUUAUAAAGACUACUAGUUGUCAGGCAGUUAUAGGAAGGCUACAAAGUUAUUCAUAUAUUUAAUACUGCUAGAGUAAACAAAAAUUAUCCAUCUGCCGUUUUGUUAAUGUUGACAUCGUGUGAUGGGAGAAAGUUAUGAACAGAGACCAGAGGGCCUAACCAAGACUGACCCUUGUUCAUUGUGACAAGGGAAACAACUCCUUGUACACUAAGCAGAUGAAUCAAUAAAUCUUUCUUGUAGAUAUCUUAUAUGGUUACUUGAGCAUUGUCCAAAAUAACCGGUUAGUGCUCUGUGCAGAGAACAUCCUUCUCUGUGUAUACAUAUUUGAUAAAGUAAUUUUUUACUGCUCAAAAUAACUUGUUAGGCUGAAAAUAUUGCUGAAAUUUAUGUUUUAGUCAUUCGGCUCAAAGAGGAUAAAUAUGGAUAAUUUUAUUGAUAUUAGCAGGAUACAUUACUAGUACAUGUAUAGACAAAUACAUUGUUUUAGUGUUGGUAUACUUUUAUUCUGAGGUCUAAGGUCAAAUGUAUAACUAUAAGAUCUUGUCGGGCAUUGAAAUCACAUAAAUAUCUUAUACAACGAGGAAGAAACUUGAAUGAACUAAUAGUCUUCUUGUUUUUUAGAAGAAUGAUGUUACAUUUAGGCUGUAACUACCAAGGUAUUGUAAUGCACAACCUAUUGUUUGUGGCAUAAAAUGCAGGACAUUUUAUAUAAAUUUACACGUCAUGACAUGGCAAUGCAUAUUCUGACCUUAUAGCCAACAUAGGAUCCUUAUUGGCAAGAUUACUUAAUUACUCAUUAAGCGAGGUAUACAGAGUUAGAUGUUUACAAAAAAUAAUUAACAUAAAUACCAGUUGGUUAUAAGUAUGAGUUUGCAAUAAGCAGGUUCAAUAUAACUCUUCUUCACUGGAUACGAUUAAUAAGCUUCUUCCUUAGAACCAGUUUAACAGGGUAGAGGGAAGGGGCUUUAUAUCAAGCAUGUAGUUAUCAUAGUUAUUAUUGUACAUACAGUUCCUUAAUAUAUAAACACUGAACACUUUCUGUAAGAGUUGCUAAAACUUUAUUGAAAAAAUUAACAGAACGUUAUUAUACAUACACCUGUAUGUUUGUGAAUAUAGAGACCAUGUAUACUUGUAUGUGUGUGAAUGAAGAGGAAUGUUUUAAGAGAAAUACUAAGUUAAGUUAAUUUGCUAAUGUAUAUGUCUGCUUAUAUGUGAACCUUGUUGUGGUACAUGUCAUAUAAAUUUGUUUUAACUACUGUGUAGCUAAACAUAAUGUAUUCUGUUAAAUAUUUCGUCCGGAUCAAUUAACAUCAUGUACAGGAAAACAUGUUGAGUUCUCAUACUCAUAUAAUAGUUAUUGAAAAACUUAGUUUUAAUUUUAUUCAUUACAUGGUCAGAUUAUUGAUCACACAUCACAAAGUGAAGUGAGCAUGGAGGGUACACAUGCCACAGGUGGGCAAUUAUUAAAAAUAACAAAAAAUAAACAAUAGCAUUGGUUCAAGAAUACGUACAUGUACUGACUUUAAUAUUUGAUUGUCGUGUAUUACAUACUCUUUAUCUACGUAUCACUAUCUAAAUGUCUCUUUAUCUACGUAUCACUAUCUGAUGGUCUGUCUGGUUUACUUAUGGUAAAGGGUCAAAUUUGCAUAUCCCAGUUGAAAUGGUUCAGGUGGCGCAUAAAUAUUCUGUAGUAAACGAAUGCACUUGAAAUGAACUGUAGGCAGAGCUAAAAAAUGCACAGUUUCAGAGUUUUGUUACAAAUAGAUAAAAAUGUUCAAGAAUAAUAUGUCCUUCUUCGCAAGUCCAUUAAGUUAAACAACAUAUCUUCAAAUGUUGACCUUGUUUUAUAAAGAAUUAACGCAAACUAGCAGUAUUCAGCAUUUCAGUUCCGGUCAGGCACGUCUGGACCUCUCGAUAUGCCCAAUAUUCCUAAAGUGAGCCUCAGUUCAGAUCUGAGCCUGUCAUUGUCUUUUCAUGAUCAGCUGGUUGAAUUGUUUGACCAUGAAGGGGCCCAGGUUUUCCAGUGUAAAAUUUGUUGCAAUAACAGUCGGUGAUAAAUGUGUACAAAUGGCCUUAUAUAUGUAUGGUUUUAUUUGAAUUAAUAGAACUUAACCAUUCCAUAUAACAUGUAUACAGAAGUCGAGCAGCUAAACAUAGAUAUCCCUGUGUUUGUAGUUAAUGGAAAUCUGACAAUGUAGUGAUUUCAGUGACUAGAUAGAGAAAUGGUGAUUUCACAAUCAAUUCAAAGUAUUGGUGAUAGAUUACUUCAUAUUUAAUUAGAAGUCAUUUCACAUCAUUUAUAUGCAUCAUCACAUUUCCAUGGUGGUUGUCUCCAAAAAUAACACAGUGUAUUGUUAGAUAACUUUCAUAUUUUCAUUAUCCCCUGUUUUCAUUUCAACCCACAAUUAAUGUACUGUACGUCCCCAUAAAUCCCAUUUCUAUCUGCUAAACCUGUACUGAGGGAGUUGUUUUAUAGAGAUUCCUGGAGUCUUACAAACGGAACACUAUUAAAGAGGGACCAAAACUCUUCAAUUAGAAGAAUAAUCAUCACCAAAUGUUAGGUUACAAUAAUAGUAAGAUGAUAUGAUAAAAAAAGGCUUUGGAAUAGUAAAACAACAGCAACAGGGAAUACAAGAUAACUAAGUUUAUAACAGCAACACUUGACUGCAUAUACCAGACCUAUCAAAUGAGGACUACACAUUGAUUAAAGCGUACCUAAAGAUAGACAUUCCAGGGUUAAAAUUUAAAGGGAUUUCUGAUUUUAUCCAGGGUUAGAAAUUUGGAAAAGAAAAAAAUAUUAUGUAAGUUGAGUGUCAAACCUAUUUUACAACUAAAAAAGACACACCAAAUUUUGAUACUGUGCCUUCUUCAGACUGCAUUUUUAAAAGGCUAGUUUAUGUACUGUUACUGGAAAAUCUAAGUCUUCUAUAAACUAUGAUAUCACUGUCAAUAGAGGAGUGUUGUCAUACAAUAUCAUGAAAAUAAUGGGAAGCCAUUUAUAAAGAAUCAUAGUAGUCAUGGUUGUGUUUGAUAAUCUUUGGACGGCCAAUCUUACAGCAUUACUGUAGUGAUACACUAACUAUAUAGGUACAUGUCUGCACACAGCUAUACGACACCAGUGAUUACACAUACAAGUCAAUAUUUAUCUAGAAAUACUUUGAACUAGAACAGUUUGCCUUACCAGCUGUUUGUCCUCAACCUUUUGAAACAGCCCUGCUUAGUAUUGAUCACAACUAUGUAUACUCUGCUAACUGUAUGGAAAUUCACUUUGUUUCUUCCCAUGUUAGAUAGGUCUUGCUUCAGCUAAAUGGGAAAUAGAAAAGGAGGCAAACAUUUCGGUAAUUUAUCAACCUGAAUUCUUUUAUCAGAAUUGUCUUCGUUCUCCGAUUGGUUGUUCAGGUUGUAAUAUCAGUUUAUCAUAUUUAUAGGACCACUAUUUAUAUCCUUACUAUUACAGUGAUGUGUAAACCUACUGAUCAAUAACUGAACAAUUAACCAAACUCUAGCUAAUAAUAUACAUUGGCAAUUUAGUGUAAAACUAUAUUAACUCAGGAUUUGAUAGAAGAUGCUUGUAUAUUGACUGGCAAGCAAAAAAAGUUCAAUAUUUGCACAUUUUGCUUCAAAACUUUCAUUAAAACUGUGUUUGUUAAAAGUGUGAUGAGAGUUUACAUAGAACAAGGUAUUUAGUGCUUUAAUCAUAAUUGUUUCUUGUAUGUAAGUUUUACAAAAUGAUGCUUUAAUUAAUUAUAUGAGGAUCAGUAUCACAUUGGAAAAUAUGGACCAGAACAGCAAUGCUAUGAACCAGUGCUAAAAAUGUCUUCUUUAACUUAUCUGUUUAUUGGUGAAAAGGCUAGUUUCUGUUAUGAUGAAGCAUGAUUAUAAUCAUGAUAUUAGAAGUAUUAUUAUUUACAUUGUAAUCGUGACCAUGUAGGCCGUGGAUACAUUUUCUGUGCACAAUGAUCAAUAUAUAAUCAACAAUCUGUAGAUAAAUAUUCUGCAUUCCACGAUUUGAAUGUUAGAUGUAUAUUCUUUGUUCAGUGGUAUGUAGAUACAUGUGUUCACUCAGUGAGUUUUGUGGAACUUGCCCACAUUUUGAGAACCUCCUUUAUCCCUUAGUAAUAAGACUCAUCAUUUUUUUUAAUAUGACACUUAGGACUCAUCUCUACAAAAUCCUACAAAAGUCACUGUUCAAUGAUCGGUAGCUACAGUAUAUAAUAUAGAUACAUAUUGUGUGUUCAAUGAUUAAUAUUGAGCAAGGUGGACUUCAGCUAAUUGUUACUAAGCAAAGGCUGAUCUCCAGUAAAAUGCUCAUAAUAUUUUGUUUCAAGCACCUCUGUGUGAUCUAAACUGCCUUCCUAUAAAAGCAAGCUUGUUGUAAAAUAUAUUUCUACUGUUUUCACUGCAUCUGCUUUUGGCAGAAGUAGUCUGCAAGAAAUGUUAAAUUGAAAUAUAUGUUAAAGACAUGUUGAUGAGCUACUUAAUUAGCUGUGGAUACUGUAGUUGAUUGGCCUGGGUUUAUCGGAACUGAUAUAGCCUUUAGUCAGAAUACUUGUACAUGUGUAACACAGGUCAGUGAGCUAACAGAUCCACAACUACACACUGCUGCUUCAGGUCAGUGAGCUAACAGGUCCACAGCUACACACUGCUGAUUCAGGCCAGUGAGCUAACAGGUCCACAGCUACACUACUGCUUCAGGUCAGUGAUCUAACA